GGGGCAUGAUGAUUUGACGUCAUCCCCACCUUCCUCCGGUUUGUCACCGGCAGUCACCUUAGAGUGCCCAAUUGGUACAAAGGGGGGCAAGUUGGCGAAAGGUAGGUAUGCUCUCAAUCCUUUUUCUGUUUAGGAUGUAGGCUCACUUGCCUACAAUAGUGGAUGGGUUGACAAGUUGCGGAGAAUUGUUCCCCGGUCCGUACACACCGCCCGUCACACCCCGAGAGUUUGUAACACCCGAAGUAGGUA
rnacentral:rRNA from 1 species